ensembl:lncRNA
GGCUUAAAACAAUCAAAAUUAUUUAUUGCUUAUGAUAUAGUUGACUAUAGCCCAUCUGGGGACUUUGUUCUACACCACUUUCUGUCAAAGCCACAAGCUGAAGGAUGCCCUACUACUCAAAAUGUUGUCAAUGUGGCAAGAGAAAGGGAAUGUGACUAAUUUUCUUACUGAUUCAUAAGACCUUCCAUGUGCCAUUUCCACUCACAGGUCCAUGACUAACUUCAAGAGGAAUAGUUCAUCCUACCAUGUACUAGUAGAAGGAGAAACAGAAACAUCAGUGAAUAGUACUCAUGACUAGCACAUAACCAUAAAAGUUUAUCAAAUUAUUUUCUCAAACAAAGAUAUAAAAUUCUGGCACCAGUAUCUGAUAGAAUACAAUUUUUCUCAGGUCAUUAUAUACAUUGUUAAAUAACUGAGAGUUAUUCUGUUUUUCUUUCUCUCAGAAGUGGCCUGGGCACACAGGGGACCCAAAGAAGGAAAAGAAUGGGAGCACCAAUGUAUACCAGGCACUGUGGUGGGAACUUUACGUAUGUUUUCUCUCUUAAUACUAACAACAAGGCUGCAAGGUAAAUAUUUUACAUUAUAGUUCAUAAUGAGAAAUAUAAGCUGCAGAGAGGAUAAGUGUGUAAUGAAGAACUAAUCUUACCUGAGGAGAGGCCUGGCCUUUGUUUCAGAUCCUGGCAGGGGUUGGAAGUAGUGGAGGGACUUAAGGUAACUCCAAAGCUCUUGGAAUUUACUGAGUAAUAGGAAGGUCUUUGUUAUUCAUGGUAGACCUCUUGGACCACACACGAUAGUUUGUGCUAAUGAGGUGACUCUGGGUAGGGCUGGCCAUGAAAGAAUCACAUCUAAUCAUGUGAUUAGAUGGUUGGGAUAUCAGCCAUGUGAUAUCUGCCCAGCCUCUGGGAAGAGAGGGGGCUGGAGUUUGAGUUCAACCACAUGAACAAUGACUGAAUUAAUGUGGUAAUGAAACCCCAAUAUGCUGAUGAGGCUUAGGUGAGUUUCCAGGUGUGAAAGGAAAAUAAAUAUUUGGGCCCCCAAAUCUCUAAGGUAAAGGGAAAAAAAUCAAGCUGGGAAUUGCCUAGGACAAAUCUGCCUCCCUUCUCACUUACCUAUGACCGGGAAGCCCCUCGCAUCUUCGAGUUGUCUUGCCUUUCCAGACCAAACCAGUGCUUGUCUUACAUAUGUUUAUUGAUGUCUCAUGUCUCCCUAAAAUGUACAAAAUCAAACUUUGCUCUGACCAUGUUGGGCACAUGUCUUUAGGACCUCCUGAGGCUGUGUCAUAGGUGCACAUUCCCAACCAUGGCAAAAUAAACUCUCUAAAUUAACUGAGACCUGUCUCUGAUUUUGGGGGUUCACAUUUUCCUAACCAUGAAGGGUUGACGAGUGGAGGUACCCCUGACAUUUGACACUUGACAUAUCUCCUAUUGGUGCUGGCUACCAGCAUGAGCUGUCUAUUUGGCUCAAACUAACUGAACAAUUUGCUGAGGCCUGGAAUCACCUCCUCCAGAGAACCCAUGAUUGCCCACAAUUUGGUCAAGACCUGAAGUUUAUUUUGCUGUAUAUCUUUAUAAUCUUUAUUUUGCCGUUUACUUGCUUACAACACAAGGAAGGCAAGUUUUCCAUGACAAUGGGACAGGUAACUCCUUUAUGGAGUUUGAGCUUGCUUUCAAAAGGGAAGAUGAGUUAUUUUUUACUGCUUCUAGAAUGAUAGAUAGCAGUCUUCAACCUGAGACUCAUCUCUAGGUAAGUAACUGAACUGGGGUUUGUCUUGGCUAAAAUUAAGAUUAACAACCAUUUCAUCUUAAUUUCUCCGUAUCAUUAGAGUGUUCAGCAAUGCUAUAAAUUGUGCAAUCCUUUGUUUUUUGGCUUAACAGCUUUGUUGUUGUUGUCGUUUCUUUGUUUCUGUUUUUGUUGUUGUUUCAUGUUUCCCAUUGAGUUUGACCAACUCUACCCAACUUGAUCAAAUCUGAAACAAAAUUCCAAAUUAUAGGGAACAAACUUCUGAAAUGGUUAAAUUCCCCCACCACACACAAAAAGUUGGUAUGACUGGGAGAGAAAAAUGGCCAGCCAAAAAAAAAAAAAAAA